rnacentral:rRNA from 1 species
GACGAACGCUGGCGGCGUGCCUAAUACAUGCAAGUCGAGCGGAAGUUGGAGAGCUUGCUCUUCAACUUUAGCGGCGGACGGGUGAGUAACACGUGGGCAACCUGCCCUGCAGAUCGGAAUAACUCCGGGAAACCGGUGCUAAUACCGAAUAGUUUUCGCCACCUCCUGGUGGCGUACGGAAAGACGGUUUCGGCUGUCACUGCCGGAUGGGCCCGCGGCGCAUUAGCUAGUUGGUGGGGUACCGGCCCACCAAGGCGACGAUGCGUAGCCGACCUGAGAGGGUGAUCGGCCACACUGGGACUGAGACACGGCCCAGACUCCUACGGGAGGCAGCAGUAGGGAAUCUUCCGCAAUGGACGAAAGUCUGACGGAGCAACGCCGCGUGAGUGACGAAGGUUUUCGGAUCGUAAAACUCUGUUGUGAGGGAAGAACAAGUACCACUUAACUACUGGUACCUUGACGGUACCUCACCAGAAAGCCACGGCUAACUACGUGCCAGCCGCCGCAGUAAAAC